CAGCCGCCGCGGUAAUACGGAGGGUGCAAGCGUUAAUCGGAAUUACUGGGCGUAAAGCGCACGCAGGCGGUUUGUUAAGUCAGAUGUGAAAUCCCCGAGCUUAACUUGGGAACUGCAUUUGAAACUGGCAAGCUAGAGUCUUGUAGAGGGGGGUAGAAUUCCAGGUGUAGCGGUGAAAUGCGUAGAGAUCUGGAGGAAUACCGGUGGCGAAGGCGGCCCCCUGGACAAAGACUGACGCUCAGGUGCGAAAGCGUGGGGAGCAAACAGGAUUAGAUACCCCAGUAGUCCCUGUCUAUUAUAA
rnacentral:rRNA from 1 species